GCUGACCAGCUAGCCCACCCUAACAAAAACAACAACCCAAUAUAAAUAACCCCAAACACACUACUCCUCCUAUAAACAAACCAUUUUACCCCCCUAGUAUGGGCGACAGAAAAGGAACUAUUGGAGCGAUAGAGAAAGUACCGCAAGGGAACGCUGAAAGAGAAAUGAAAUAACCCAGUAAAGCCUAAAAAAGCAGAGAUUUUACCUCGUACCUUUUGCAUCAUGAUUUAGCUAGUACUACCCAAGCAAAGAGAACUUUAGUUUGGACCCCCGAAACUAGGUGAGCUACUCCAAGACAGCCUAUCAAUAGGGCAAACCCGUCUCUGUGGCAAAAGAGUGGGAAGAGCUUUGAGUAGAGGUGACAGACCUACCGAACCUAGUUAUAGCUGGUUGCCUGAGAAUUGGAUAGGAGUUCAGCCUCCAGGCUUCUCUAUUCACCGCGGUCUUACCCCUACCGAUGCACUAAAGAAGCCUAGAGAGUUAAUCAAAGGGGGUACAGCCCCUUUGAGACAAGAUACAACUUUUCCAGGAGGGUAAAGAUCAUAUUUACCCAAGGUAACAAUGCCCAGGUGGGCCUAAAAGCAGCCAUCCUUACAGAAAGCGUUAAAGCUCAAGCAUUACACCUUCCCACAUAUUCAGAUAACCANAUCCCAACCCCCUAAUAUUAUCAGGCCAUCUCAUGCAUACAUGAGAGUGCACAUGCUAAUAUGAGUAACAAGAGAGCCUCCGCCUCUCUCCUUGCACACGUGUAAAUCGGAACGAACCCCCACCGAAACUUAACGGCCCCAAACAAAGAGGGCAAUGAACAACAAGUAAGCAACCAGAAAACCAUCCAAAAAACAACCGUUAACCCCACACUGGUGUGCCAUUAAGGAAAGACUAAAAGAAAAAGAAGGAACUCGGCAAACAUACCAAGCCUCGCCUGUUUACCAAAAACAUCGCCUCUUGCAAAAACAAAGAAUAAGAGGUCCAGCCUGCCCUGUGACUAUAUGUUUAACGGCCGCGGUAUUUUAACCGUGCGAAGGUAGCGCAAUCACUUGUCUUUUAAAUGGAGACCUGUAUGAAUGGCAUUACGAGGGCUUAACUGUCUCCUUUUUCUAGUCAGUGAAAUUGAUCUCCCCGUGCAGAAGCGGGGAUNUAACCAUAAGACGAGAAGACCCUAUGGAGCUUUAGACACCAAGGCAUAUCAUGUCAAACACCCCUAAACAAAGGACUAAACCAAAUGAAUCAUGCCCCCAUGUCUUUGGUUGGGGCGACCGCGGGGAAAUAAAAAACCCCCACGUGGAAUGGGAGUACUACCUCCUACAACCAAGAGCUGCAGCUCUAAAAAACAGAAUAUCUGACCAAUAAGAUCCGGCAACGCCGAUCAACGGACCGAGUUACCCUAGGGAUAACAGCGCAAUCCCCUUUUAGAGCCCAUAUCGACAAGGGGGUUUACGACCUCGAUGUUGGAUCAGGACAUCCUAAUGGUGCAGCCGCUGUUAAGGGUUCGUUUGUUCAACGAUUAAAGUCCUACGUGAUCUGAGUUCAGACCGGAGUAAUCCAGGUCAGUUUCUAUCUAUGAUAUGUUCUUUUCUAGUACGAAAGGACCGAAAAGAAGAGGCCAAUGCUAAAAGCACGCCUCACCCCUCCUAUUGAAAACAACUAAAAUAGGCAAAAGGGCAUACCCCUCCACGCCCAAGAUAAUGGCAUGUUGGGGUGGCAGAGCCCGGUUAUUGCAAAAGACCUAAGCCCUUUUCACAGAGGUUCAAGUCCUCUCCCCAACUAUGAUUACCGCUCUAAUAACCCAUAUUCUCAAUCCCCUGGCUUUUAUCGUACCAGUCCUUCUCGCCGUAGCNUUCCUCACCCUCAUUGAACGAAAAGUACUAGGCUACAUACAACUACGAAAAGGCCCAAAUAUCGUUGGGCCCUACGGACUUCUUCAACCAAUUGCGGACGGGGUAAAAUUAUUNAUUAAAGAGCCUGUCCGACCCUCAACUUCCUCCCCUGUCCUAUUCCUGCUUGCCCCUAUACUUGCCUUAACACUCGCACUAACCCUCUGAGCUCCAAUGCCCCUCCCAUACCCCGUCACUGACCUCAACCUAGGAAUUCUAUUCAUCCUGGCCCUAUCAAGCCUUGCCGUCUACUCUAUUUUAGGCUCAGGCUGAGCAUCUAAUUCUAAAUAUGCCCUUAUCGGGGCCCUGCGGGCCGUAGCCCAAACCAUUUCAUACGAAGUCAGCCUCGGACUCAUUCUUCUAAACGCCAUCAUCUUUACAGGUGGCUUCACNCUACAAACCUUUAACAUCGCCCAAGAAGCAAUUUGACUAAUUAUUCCCGCCUGACCAUUAGCUGCAAUAUGAUACAUUUCUACCCUAGCAGAAACAAACCGGGCACCCUUUGACCUCACCGAAGGAGAAUCAGAACUGGUCUCAGGCUUUAACGUUGAAUAUGCAGGAGGUCCCUUCGCCNUAUUCUUCCUGGCAGAAUAUGCAAAUAUCCUACUCAUGAACACACUCUCCGCCACACUCUUCUUAGGGGCAUCCCACAUCCCAACAAUUCCAGAGCUAACCGCUACCAACCUAAUGAUUAAAGCUGCCCUCCUCUCAAUAGUCUUCCUAUGAGUGCGAGCCUCCUACCCACGAUUCCGAUACGACCAGCUUAUACACCUUAUCUGAAAAAACUUCCUACCCCUGACGCUAGCCCUGGUAAUUUG
rnacentral:rRNA from 1 species